rnacentral:rRNA from 1 species
CCUACGGGAGGCAGCAGUGAGGAAUAUUGGUCAAUGGGCGCGAGCCUGAACCAGCCAAGCAGCGUGAAGGAUGACUGCCCUACGGGUUGUAAACUUCUUUUAUCAAGGAAUAAAGUGAGGCACGUGUGCCCUUUUGUAUGUACUUUAUGAAUAAGGAUCGGCUAACUCCGUGCCAGCAGCCGCGGUAAUACGGAGGAUCCGAGCGUUAUCCGGAUUUAUUGGGUUUAAAGGGAGCGUAGAUGGGUUGUUAAGUCAGUUGUGAAAGUUUGGGGCUCAACCCUAACAUUGCAAUUGAUACUGGCAGCCUUGAGUACAGUUGAGGUAGGCGGAAUGCGUGGUGUAGCGGUGAAAUGCUUAGAUAUCACGAAGAACUCCGAUUGCGAAGGCAGCCUACUAGACUGCCACUGACAUUGAGGCUCGAAAGUGUGGGUAUCAAACAGGAUUAGAUACCCGAGUAGUC